rnacentral:rRNA from 1 species
CUUGGUCAUUUAGAGGAAGUAAAAGUCGUAACAAGGUCUCCGUUGGUGAACCAGCGGAGGGAUCAUUACAGAGUCGUAAAACACUCCCAACCCAUGUGAACUUACCAUUGUUGCCUCGGCGGACCUACCCGGUAGCUAGCUACCCUGUAGACCGCCGGUGGACCAUUAAACUCUGUUAUUCUAUGGAUAUCUGAGCGUCUUAUUUAAUAAGUUAAAACUUUCAACAACGGAUCUCUUGGUUCUGGCAUCGAUGAAGAACGCAGCGAAAUGCGAUAAGUAAUGUGAAUUGCAGAAUUCAGUGAAUCAUCGAAUCUUUGAACGCACAUUGCGCCCAUUAGUAUUCUAUUGGGCAUGCCUGUUCGAGCGUCAUUUUGACCACUUAAGCCUGGCUUAGUGUUGGGAAUCUACGUUUGUAGCUCCUUAAAUCUAGUGGCGGAGCCGCAGUGGCCUCUGAGCGUAGUAAUUUUUUCUCGCUUUGGAAGGUUCUGUAGUUUUUGCCAUAAAACCCCCAAUUUUUUAAGGUUGACCUCGGAUCAGGUAGGAAGACCCGCUGAACUUAAGCAUAUCAAUAAGGGGAGGAA